ACUUAUUUAAAAAAAAUAAAAUAAUAUACAAAUGGGCCUCUCUCUCUCUCUAAUCGCUAACGAGUUAUCACCAGCAAGGGCUUGAUCAGUUGUUUGAGCCUGGUUUUCUCCAAAUGGAAUCCAAGACCCUAAUUGAUUUACAUUUUGAUUCAUCACCUUAUCAGAGCCAGAACCACCAACAUCACCCCUUCCAAUCUUGUUAUUUCUCUUUUCAAUUGACCUCUUCCUUACCCCUGCUAUUGCUUGUUCCCUAGUUUCUUUAACAAGAGAGUGAUGAAUAUACACACUUUUCCUAACUCCUCUAUCAAGCUUUUUCUUCUCUUUGUUACAGCUAGAGGAAGUCGAUUUUGCAUUACCUACUAUAAGCACCCUAUCUUCCCUAAUUUUCUCCAUGGAUUGAUCAUCAAUUCCAGACAUAACUGAAGAUCCGUUGUUUGAUAGACUAAUGAGAUUGCAAGUAUGGUCUAACUGCUGGGGGAGUUGAUCUUGAAUAACGGGUUUUGAUUUCACGAGCAGCCAGUCGGCAAUAUUGUUGGCCUUAUCGAACCCAAGCAUAUCUUGCAACCUGAAGAAUCUCUCUACAACUUCUAUCAGGUCACCUUUUUACAGUCCAUGUACGCUUGAAGAAGGUUGGAAUAGUGAGGAUGGGAAAUGAUCUUAGCUUUAAGAGAUUUAUCUUUGUUAUGAUAGCUCAUCACAGAAGGGUAACUACGAAAUUUCUGGGUACCUCCACUUUCGAUAGUACUGCCUCCUCCUCUCCCAUACAAAGAAGUAUAUGUGGUAUCUAGGGAAAGAACCGAUCCUCCACCCGACCCGUAUAAGAGAGUAGUAGUCUAGUAGAUGGUGUGCCCAUAUUAUUGUUGCUAUUGUUCUCUCUCAUUUGGCCCAUGUAAUCUUUCACCACUCUUACUCAAGAAAAACCCUACAGAACAAGAGCUCGGGAGAGAAAGAAAGGAUCGAUGAAGAAGAAAACGAAAAACCCUAAUCAAAUUGUAAAUUGAAGAAGGCGAAUUAUUGUUCUUUUGUUGAUAUUUGAUGAAAGGCGAAAUCAAAUAACUUAAGGGUGAAUCUUAAAACCCACAGAAGAUAGAUGUUUUAUCUCUUUGUAUCAUACAAGGAGAGCAGUACAAGUGAGGGAAGACCGGUCUUGUUGAUAAGGAGAGAGAGAGAGAGGCCCAUUUGUAUAUUAUUUUAUUUUUUUUAAAUAAGUGAAAACAUCAUAAAUGGUCUCUGUGGUAGUGAAAUGACGAAAAUGCCCUUCAGUUAACGGACAAAAGUUAACGGUGUUAGCAAUAAGGACCAAUUGUCAAAAGUUUUGAAAAAACAGGGACCAUCUAUUACGUUUUUAAACCACGGGGACUAAACUUCAGAUUUUGAGAAACCACAGGGACCAUUUAUGAUGUUUUUUCUUGUCAAAAUGAUCAAAAGUGUCCAACUAAGUUCUUUUGUACCUAUAAUGUUGCGUUUAAAACAAUGAAAACACUUUUGUUUCUCCUGUUUUACUUGAUUGAAAUGACUAACACAUAGAGAACAUUUCUUGCAUUAUAGCAAUGUACUUUCAAAGUACAAUACUUAAAUAAGCAAAUUUACAAAUUAAAAAGAACCUGACCAAAUAUCUCAACAUUUUGACUUUUACAUAGUAGGAUGCUAUUAAUGAACUUAAAAUUAUCAUUUUUGAAGAAUCUGACCAAACACAUCAAAAUUAUGACUUUUAAAUAGUACAAUGCUAUAAAUGAAUUUAAAAAAUAUCAAUUUUCCAGAACUUGGCUAAUUAUGUCGUAAUUGUGACUUAUAAAUAUUAUAAUGCUAAAAGCAAACUUAUAAAUGGUAAUUUUUAGAGAAUAUGAUCAAAUAUGUCAAAAUUGUGACUAUUACAUAGUACAAUGCUAUAAGUGAAAGUAGACUGGUAUUUAAAAAUUAUUUCCGCUGUUAACUAAAUUGGCAAUGAAACCUAAAAGGUUUCACAAUCUCAAAUACACAAUAAAAAACAA